UUUCAUUCCAAUGGAACCUCAGAGCAAAGGAACAACUUGUAAGGGCAGCAUGAAUCUCCCUCUUGAACAGGAAAGCUAGAAAACCUAAGUAAUGAAAUUGAUGGCUUUAUUUUAACAGCAUGUGCCCAGACAGAGGAAAUCUACCCUGAACUGAGGGACAUAUUCAACAGGCAUUUUUAAAUUUUAAAAUUAAAAAACAGGGCCCAGGCAUACAACCCAGAAAGGUUUGUCUUCAAAACUGAAGUCAAGGUAAAUCAAGUUCAUCUUAGUUAUUUUUUUGCAUGAGGAUAGUUGGAAAGAAUAGAUAAGGAGGUGCUCAACUGGACUGAGAGAUUCUUACUUUUUAAGUCUUUUUCAGGACAGCCCAUUCUUCUGAAUAACAGCAGCUGACUGAUCUACAUGGGCACUGAGAGUCAUUCUCCACUAGAGGUUAGUGCUGAGGCACAUCAGUUGCAAGAGCAGGCCGCAUCAUUCCCAAUUCAAGUUGAAGACUUUAAGUUCAAGGAAAAUAGUCUCUCUUUAUGCCUGUCAAUUCGUAUGUCCCCUGAUAUUUCUGGAUAAUCUUACUAAUUAACUGAACCUCAUCAGGAAGAUAAUGAUGGUUCGGCGACUCGAGAGACACACAGGACCUCAGAACCUCGAACUCAAAAUACUUGGCAGUCUACCAAAAAAAAAAAAAAAAGACCUUCUUGAUUCAAGAAGAGGAGGGGAUGAGCAGCGAGAAGGGGAGUAUAUGACACGAAAAGCUGCUGACCAGAGCAGUGGCGCCCAGCUUUCAGACACACUUACUGGUUUGCUAGGGUACACGUUAGAUAGAUGCGUUUUUAGUUUCCCCACGGUCCAGUUCAAGAAGCAGCUAAUAGUCUGGUCACUGUAUUUCUGAUUCGGUGCUUUAAUGAUGAGGGUCACAGGAAUCUCCAUCCCACUUUGGUCCAUGGUGCCCCCAAAGUCGGACAGAGUCAAACGGAGCAGCAGUUAAGCCCAACUGAGCCGAGGUGGUUACUGCCGGCGCGACUGGGAUGGGGUCGGAAGCGACUGGGUUCUUAAUAUUCCACGUCCCGAUCAGUCACAAGUGCAUCCGGCGAUGCGAA